GGGGCUAAGAUGGUACAGCGGA
rnacentral:miRNA from 1 species